UGACCGAUAGUGAACCAGUACCGUGAGGGAAAGGUGAAAAGCACCCCGACGAGGGGAGUGAAACAGACCCUGAAACUGGACGCCUACAAGCAGUCGGAGGGCGAAAGCCUGACGGCGUACCUUUUGUAUAAUGGGUCAGCGACUUCGUCUCUCGAGCAAGCUUAAGCCGAUAGGUGUAGGCGUAGCGAAAGCGAGUCUUAAUAGGGCGACUGAGUUCGAGGGAUGAGACCCGAAGCCGGGUGAUCUAGCCAUGAGCAGGUUGAAGGUGCAGUAACAUGCACUGGAGGACCGAACCCACGUCUGUUGAAAAAGACGGGGAUGACUUGUGGCUAGGGGUGAAAGGCCAAUCAAACUCGGAAAUAGCUGGUUCUCCGCGAAAUCUAUUUAGGUAGAGCGUCUCGUGAAUACCCAUGGGGGUAGAGCACUGGAUGGGCUAGGGGGUCCCAACGACUUACCAAACCUAACCAAACUCCGAAUACCAUGGAGUACUGCGAGGCAGACACACUGCGGGUGCUAAGGUCCGUAGUGAAGAGGGAAACAGCCCUGACCGCCAGCUAAGGUCCCUAAGUUAUCACUAAGUGGGAAACGAUGUGGGAGUGCUUAGACAACCAGGAGGUUGGCUUAGAAGCAGCCAUCCUUUAAAGA
rnacentral:rRNA from 11 species